rnacentral:lncRNA from 1 species
AUGGAAAUCUAUCAAGCAUGGGAUCUGCACCCCUGUCUGCAGCUCUGCCUGGAGGAGCUUUUUCCCAUUUGGAUGUCGGUGAGAGGUGAGAAGGCAGCGUGCUGGGGGAAGCAAGUGAGAAAGAGAGCUGCUCGCAAGAGGGACCAGGGAGUGAAGCAACAUAGGCACCUUCCUGCUGAAGAAUACCUCAGUUGUGAUAAAACUGACUUUUGAAACCUGGAGCUCUCCUGGCAGAAACAUCACACAACAUCAAACUACCAGAGCUUCUGCACUGCCUUUGUUAAUCUGCCAUUGUGAGAAAUGCAGUGCUUCCAGAGCUGGGCUGCCCUGGGCUGAUCAAUGACACAGGUGCUGUGCUCUCCUGUCCUCCCUGCCCACAGUCUGCCUCGUGCCACCUGCAGCUGCUGCCUGAGACCAUCAGAAGUUGGGGUUGAGACAUUUUCAUUUUUGGCUUAGAUGCAUGUUUAUUCUGAAAGCAAGUAUAACCUUAGCAAUUUUCAAGCUACAACAAAUAAUAAAGGCUCUGUACUCCAAGAAUAAUAAGAAAUA